rnacentral:rRNA from 1 species
AACGAACGCUGGCGGCAGGCUUAACACAUGCAAGUCGAGCGCCCCGCAAGGGGAGCGGCAGACGGGUGAGUAACGCGUGGGAAUCUACCCAACUCUACGGAAUAACUCAGGGAAACUUGUGCUAAUACCGUAUACGCCCUUCGGGGGAAAGAUUUAUCGGAGUUGGAUGAGCCCGCGUUGGAUUAGCUAGUUGGUGGGGUAAAGGCCUACCAAGGCGACGAUCCAUAGCUGGUCUGAGAGGAUGAUCAGCCACACUGGGACUGAGACACGGCCCAGACUCCUACGGGAGGCAGCAGUGGGGAAUAUUGGACAAUGGGCGAAAGCCUGAUCCAGCCAUGCCGCGUGAGUGAUGAAGGCCCUAGGGUUGUAAAGCUCUUUCACCGAUGAAGAUAAUGACGGUACCUACAGAAGAAGCCCCGGCUAACUUCGUGCCAGCCGCCGCCGUAACAC